GCUUGCUGUCUGUUUUAACUUGGCCUUUUCUCCCUUUACAAAGACAGAAAUCAAACAUUAAGAAAUGAGAAGAUGGUGCAAGAAUGAUACAACAAUCAAUCAAGUGCUUGCCAAAGCAGGAGUGGCUGACUCUAAGUGACACUGAGAAAACAGAAGCAACUUCCUUCCUAGAUUAAAGGAACAGUGUGAUUGGCAUGUCUAAGCAGCAGGAAAACACUAGACAGCAGGAUAAUUCCACAAGGAAAGAGGAGAAAAGGAUUCUCCCACCCAUCUAAUGCAAGAACAAAGGGAUAAGAUUUACUGGGGAGACUUCAAGUGAAAGUGCUUCUGUGUCCUGCAUUUCAUCCUCCACUGAGCUUCAGCUACCAAAGAAACACAUAGAUGACGGCACAUCUGUUAAGAACACAGCAAGAACAAUCUUUCUGCUUUCUCAUCUCAACCACUUCAACAGAGCCAAAUCCUCUCAUCUUGCUUCAUUACAUGUUACUUGCAUGCUGUAAUCAAAUGUAACAAACUGAUGUCCAAGGUACCUCUUGAGUGUACAAUGCACACAGAUUCUCAGAGCUGGAAAUGCUUUUUGUUAUGUCUGACAAGUGGUCUUUGACAAGCCAUGUGUGCAGCGAGUGAUGCAAGGCACUGGCAUAGUCACUGAAUAAUGUGGAAGCAGCCAUGGGGUUGUGCUCUUUGAGUUGAGGGUUCAGGAUCCCCUUGGCUUCCCAGGUAAGCUCAUGGAGAACUUCAGUCUGGAAAUCUGAUUUAAAGUGACCAGGCUGAUAGUGCUCAACAGAACUGCAGCAAAAUAGAUAAUGUAGCAAGCGUAGGGUGAAGUCUCUGAAGCCAAGUCUGUAUUAAGCUAUUUUAAAAAAUAAUGAAAAAUCAAUACUACUUCCUGUCUUCAUUUGCUAUCAGGUGAGAAUUUGGUGUUGCUUGUAAUUUUUUCUCAGUGGCUUAGAAGCUUAACUUCUAUCUCAAAAAUGAGCUUGAAUAUUUGGGGAAUGAAGUGAUAUUUAUGGGGCCUAGUAGUUCUCUGCCUAUAUGAUUCUUCCAUAGGAUUCAACAAGGGACUGUUCAAGGUGCUUCUUGGUUAAAUAAAAUCUUCUGGAGCAGUGUUCUGCAUUUCAUGCGCAAAGCUAGAGCUGGCUACCUAAAACCUUUCAUUCUGGAGAAUUUGGGGGCAUUGACAAGUCCCCUAGGUCCUGAGGACAAGGGUAGGCCCAUGGGACCACAGAGGCCUGUAGAGGUAGGCCCGUAGAGGCCCAUAUACCUGUGGAAGAGUUGGUGGCUUACUCAGAUCUCAGGCUGAGUGGAUCCUGCUGUUUGGUGUCAGGUCCCUGCUAAUUCUCCAGUCGCAGCAAAGCCCAGAAGAGGUCUGAACAAAGCCCUGGCCGUGAAAUAAACCUGGUAUGUGCAAACCGGGAGUGUUUGGGAGACAAAGGGAAGGGACGUGGCCGAAUUGCAUUCCCCUGUAGUGAAGAAGGAAAGAUGUAUUAUCAAAAAUGGUUUUUCUUUGUCUCGCAUAGCUACAAUAAAAAUG